UUAGCCUUCUCUUCAUCUUCAUUCUUCAUCAAUUGACAUUGUUGAUCGCUCAUCUUCUCAAAAUUGCACUUUGUUUUUAUCCUUGAAAAAUCUAGGGCUAUUUUCAACUUUAAUCUAGGAUACUGUUUGAAAUUGGUAGUGGCAAUUGAACAUGGUUUGAGUGACAUUUGAAGACUUUAUGAGGGAUUUUGUUAGGGAAUUCUGGGUUGUUGAAUUCGUGUUUAGGUAAGACGAUCGGCAUUAAUGUUCAAACUUUUUGGUAAAUAUACCACCAUUUAGUCUGAAUUGAAGCCAGGUACGUAUUUUUGUGUAGUUAACGUUUUUCUAUGCUCUUUUUUAAUAAGUAUAUUGGGGUUGGAUAUGAAAUGUUGUUGAUGGUAUUGGUUAUUUUUGUUUGAUUAAUUAUGUUAAUUAAUUGUUAAAGUCAACCUUUUUAUUUGUUUAGGGUUUUUAUUAUUAGGUAAUUGUUGUUUAUUGUUAGAUUGUUUAUACAUUUAUUUGUUGGAUGUUCUUUGGUUUGAUUGAUGUAGAAUGGUUGAAAAAAUUGUUCUACAGUUUCAGAAUAGGGGUAGAGAUGUGUCUGUUAUGGUUGACGAUGUUGAUAAGGUCAAUUUGAUAGACCUUAUUAUUGAGUAUUGGGAAAAAGAUAAGGAGAAUAAUGUUGAAACACCCUAACAUCCCACUUUUCAGUAUGUGUAUAAAAUGAAGCAUGUUAACCUUGAAAGUGAUGUUGAUCUGAUGAAGAUGUUUGUAAUUUUCCUGACAAAAUGGAGAUAUACAUAUGGGUGGAGAUGAUCUAAAGGAUGUUAAGGUUGUUGCAGCUGCAAGAUCAAUCACUAAUGGUUGGAAAGAAACCAGUUGUUAAACCAAUAGCUAAUCCAAUAGUUGAACCAGUAGCUAAGCCAGUACCUGAACUAGUAAUUAGCAAUAGGAAAAAACUGACACAUAGGAAUAAAAAACAACCUGAGUAGGUGGAAGCUGAAGUUGUUAUUAAGGCUGACUUUGAUAGACAUGUUAAGGCAUUAGGUAAAACAAUCAAUGUGAGUGAUGAGAUUCUAAAUUAUGACCCAGAUGAAACUUGCACUACUACAAAACUUGGAAAAGUGACCCCCAAUUAAAGACCCGUUAUUUAACCAACGGGUCUAUUUGAUAAAAGAGAUCUAAUAUUAAUUGUAACGGGUCUCUUACAUGUAUUAAUGACAAAAUGAGAGAGAUAAAAUACAUGUUGUCAAACUCAACGGGUCUCUUUAUUAUGUUAGGUCCCACAUAUUUGGCGUAUUAGAAAGAUUAGAGACCCGUUCUCAUUAUCAACUGGUCUUUUACCUUUGUUCCUUGCAGGCUUGCAGCAACAAUGAGUGCCUCUAUUUAAGUCGUACUCAUUUUUUUUAAAAAUUGUUUUAAUCACUGUGUCCUUAAAUUCAUUCACCUACUACUCUUAGCUACUGAUCUUUACAUUGCAUUCUUUUUCUUCAAAACCCAAACCCCAAAGUAAAACCCUACCUCAUUCCCUCUUUGAAUCAGCCGCCGUCACUCCUAGAUGGGUGUUUCUCUCUCUUCAAUAUGUAUAUACAUAUAUGGAAGACAAACCACGCCAAGAAGCCGGAUCUCCGUCACCGGCGCCGAAAAUUCCCGUCACAUCCUCCACAAAAUCUGACGAUUCUCUGGCGACAGGAUCACCAACUCCUCGCUGCCGAAACAAAAAGUGUAAAUCCACCAACACUUCAUCACCGGCGGCUUCGAAAUGCCACGCUCGUGAGAAAGCCACCACUACAGCAGCCGCCGCUUCCGGCAGAUUCUUCUCUCUCUUUCCUCUGACCCACAACGGUCUGAUAACCAACAUCGGCGGCUCCAAAGCGCCACGCUCGUGAAUGAUUCGACGGUUGCUGAGGGAGCUAAAGAAGCGAAAUCGGCUAAGGUUGAAUUUGAAAAGCUUCAGGCUAUGAUUGAUGCUAAAUUUGAUAAGAUUCGAAUGCGUGAUUCGAGUGUUCAUGUUGUUCUUGUUGCUGCUAGUUAGUUUUCAGAUUUGCUUCAUUCAUCAGAUGAUCAGAUCUCACUUUAUUCUCAACGGAGAUAGGAAAUGGAGUACUCAACCCUUAUUAUUGUAAAAUUUUAUUUGUUGGAGUUUUAUAUAUUGGAUGAUCUUUUGGUAUCAUUCACAUCAAUUUUACGUCAUGUAAUAAUUUAUGUAAAUCUCAAUAAAUUCAAUUUUAAAUUACAAUAUAUGAAUUUUUUGCCAA